rnacentral:tRNA from 1 species
GUUCUCAUAGUGUAGCGGUUAUCACGUCGGCUUUACACGCUGAAGGUCCUUAGUUCGGCCCAGGGUGAGAACA